rnacentral:rRNA from 1 species
UACAGAGGUGGCAAGCGUUGUUCGGAAUUACUGGGCGUAAAGGGCGCGUAGGCGGCCUUCUAAGUCAGACGUGAAAUCCCCCGGCUUAACCUGGGAACUGCGUCUGAUACUGGAGGGCUUGAGUGCGGGAGAGGGAUGUGGAAUUCCAGGUGUAGCGGUGAAAUGCGCAGAUAUCAGGAGGAACACCGGUGGCGAAGGCGGGUCUCUGGGCCGAUACUGACGCUGAGGAGCGAAAGCGUGGGGAGCGAACAGG